rnacentral:lncRNA from 1 species
AAACAACUGCAUCUGGGGGAAAGCUCUGGCAACUGCCAACGGAAGAGGCUCAUCAGAGCGUGAGCGGUGAUCGUGACACAGGUGACGAGAACCCCCCCGUCAGGCCUCCCAGGACGGCUGUGCCAUCACCACACGGAAGCACCUUCUCGGACCAUCUCCUCCAACCUCCACCACCCCACACAGAAGGGACGAGCAGGUCUCCACGACAGCUGGGGCACUGGGGGAGCAGGUGAGAGGCUCCCACAGCAGUUCAGGUGAGAGGGGGUGGUGGCAGAGUGGUCAGCGUGGCUGAGACUCGCCCAAGGUCACAGGCCUGUGAGCUUCUUCACAUCUAAGGGGUCAGCGUGGGUAUCCGAAGGUGGCCCUCGCUGAAGGAACCCUCU